rnacentral:rRNA from 1 species
GAUAAACGCUGGCGGCGUGCAUAACACAUGCAAGUCGAACGAUGAAACUUAACUGAUUUCUUCGGGAUGAUUUUAAGUGGAUUAGUGGCGGACGGGUGAGUAACGCGUGAGUAACCUGCCUUGCACAAGGGGAUAGCCGUUGGAAACGACGAAUAAUACCCUAUGAUAUAAACUCUUCGCAUGAAGGGCUUAUCAAAGAUUUAUCGGUGUAAGAUGGACUCGCGUCUGAUUAGCUAGUUGGUGGGGUAACAGCCUACCAAGGCAACGAUCAGUAGCCGGCUUGAGAGAGUGUACGGCCACAUUGGGACUGAGACACGGCCCAGACUCCUACGGGAGGCAGCAGUGGGGAAUUUUGCACAAUGGGGGCAACCCUGAUGCAGCGACGCCGCGUGAUUUAGAAGGCCUUCGGGUUGUAAAAAUCUUUUGUAUGGGAGAAAAUGACAGUACCAUACGAAUAAGACCGGCUAA